rnacentral:rRNA from 1 species
UACGAAGGGGGCUAGCGUUGCUCGGAAUCACUGGGCGUAAAGCGCACGUAGGCGGACUUUUAAGUCAGGGGUGAAAUCCUGGAGCUCAACUCCAGAACUGCCUUUGAUACUGGAAGUCUUGAGUCCGGAAGAGGUAAGUGGAACUGCGAGUGUAGAGGUGAAAUUCGUAGAUAUUCGCAAGAACACCAGUGGCGAAGGCGGCUUACUGGUCCGGUACUGACGCUGAGGUGCGAAAGCGUGGGGAGCAAACAGG